UUUGGAUCUGAAGAAUUGUUUGGAUCAUCUAUAUUUGUAUGGCUCAAAAAAUCUGCAGCUUCAUCAUCGUGACCACCAUUGCAGUGCACUUUAAGAAAUACUGUGAUCAGAAUAAGUAAUAUUUUGACCGUCUUCUUCAUGAAAACGGCG
ensembl:ncRNA K11G12.9 ncRNA